UACGGGGGGGGCAAGCGUUGUUCGGAAUUACUGGGCGUAAAGGGCUCGUAGGCGGCCAACUAAGUCGGACGUGAAAUCCCUCGGCUUAACCGGGGAACUGCGUCCGAUACUGGAUGGCUUGAGUUCGGGAGAGGGAUGCGGAAUUCCAGGUGUAGCGGUGAAAUGCGUAGAUAUCUGGAGGAACACCGGUGGCGAAGGCGGCAUCCUGGACCGACACUGACGCUGAUGCGCGAAAGCCAGGGGAGCGAACGGG
rnacentral:rRNA from 1 species